rnacentral:rRNA from 1 species
CACAUGCAGUCGAGCGAUAGCACAGAGAGCUUGCUCUCGGGUGACGAGCGGCGGACGGGUGAGUAAUGUCUGGGAAACUGCCUGAUGGAGGGGGAUAACUACUGGAAACGGUAGCUAAUACCGCAUAAUGUCGCAAGACCAAAGUGGGGACCUUCGGGCCUCAUGCCAUCAGAUGUGCCCAGAUGGGAUUAGCUAGUAGGUGGGGUAACGGCUCACCUAGGCGACGAUCCCUAGCUGGUCUGAGAGGAUGACCAGCCACACUGGAACUGAGACACGGUCCAGACUCCUACGGGAGGCAGCAGUGGGGAAUAUUGCACAAUGGGCGCAAGCCUGAUGCAGCCAUGCCGCGUGUGUGAAGAAGGCCUUCGGGUUGUAAAGCACUUUCAGCGGGGAGGAAGGCGUUAAGGUUAAUAACCUUGGCGAUUGACGUUACCCGCAGAAGAAGCACCGGCUAACUCCGUGCCAGCAGCCGCGGUAAUACGGAGGGUGCAAGCGUUAAUCGGAAUUACUGGGCGUAAAGCGCACGCAGCGGUCUGUCAA